rnacentral:rRNA from 1 species
ACAAGCCAUGCAUGCCCGCACACCCGGGAGGCGGCGGACGGCUCAGGACAACGGUUGCACCACCCGCGGCGGUCCCUGCUAGCCGGACACCGCUGGCAACCCGGCGCCAAGACGUGCGCGCAAGUGCGGGCGCCCGCGGG